rnacentral:tRNA from 1 species
GCCUGGCUGGCUCAGUCAGUAGAGCAUGCAACUCCUGAUCUCAAAGUUGUGAGUUCAAGCCCCACACUGGGUG